UACGUAGGGGGCAAGCGUUAUCCGGAUUUACUGGGUGUAAAGGGAGCGUAGGUGGCAUGGCAAGCCAGAAGUGAAAACCCGGGGCUUAACCCCGCGGAUCGCUUUUGGAACUGUCAGGCUGGAGUGCAGGAGGGGCAGGCGGAAUUCCUGGUGUAGCGGUGAAAUGCGUAGAUAUCAGGAGGAACACCGGUGGCGAAGGCGGCCUGCUGGACUGUAACUGACACUGAGGCUCGAAAGCGUGGGGAGCAAACAGG
rnacentral:rRNA from 1 species